rnacentral:rRNA from 1 species
CAAGUCGAGCGAGGCGUCCCGCAAGGGAUAGUCGAGCGGCGAACGGGUGAGUAACGCGUGGAUUAUCUGCCCUGAGGUGGGGGAUAACCCGGGGAAACUCGGGCUAAUACCGCAUAUGACCGUGAGGUCAAAGGGGGGUCGCAAGAUCUCUCGCCAUAGGAGGAGUCCGCGUCCGAUUAGCUAGUUGGUAGGGUAAUGGCCUACCAAGGCGACGAUCGGUAGCCGGCCUGAGAGGGUGAUCGGCCACACUGGAACUGAGACACGGUCCAGACUCCUACGGGAGGCAGCAGUGGGGAAUUUUGCGCAAUGGGCUAACGCCUGACGCAGCAACGCCGCGUGGAGGAUGAAGGUCCUUGGAUUGUAAACUCCUGUCAGCAGGGAAAAAGCGAAUCGGUCUAAUACACCGGUGAGUUGAUUGUACCUGCAGAGGAAGCCCCGGCUAACUCUGUGCCAGCAGCCGCGGUAAUACAGAGGGGGCAAGCGUUAUUCGGAAUUAUUGGGCGUAAAGGGCGCGUAGGCGGCUUGGCAAGUGGAAGGUGAAAUCCCUCGGCUUAACCGAGGAACUGCCCUCCAAACUGCUUCGCUUGAGACCGGGAGAGGUGAGUGGAAUUCCCAGUGUAGCGGUGAAAUGCGUAGAUAUUGGGAGGAACACCAGUGGCGAAGGCGGCUCACUGGACCGGUACUGACGCUGAUGCGCGAAAGCGUGGGGAGCAAACGGGAUUAGAUACCCCGGUAGUCCACGCCGUAAACGAUGAGUGCUUGGUGUAGCGGGUAUCGACCCCUGCUGUGCCGAAGUCAACACAUUAAGCACUCCGCCUGGGGAGUACGGUCGCAAGGCUGAAACUCAAAGGAAUUGACGGGGGCCCGCACAAGCGGUGGAGCAUGUGGUUUAAUUC